rnacentral:rRNA from 1 species
UCAACUUGAGAGUUUGAUCCUGGCUCAGAACGAACGCUGGCGGCAGGCUUAACACAUGCAAGUCGAGCGCCCCGCAAGGGGAGCGGCAGACGGGUGAGUAACGCGUGGGAAUCUACCCAUCUCUACGGAAUAACGCAUGGAAACGUGUGCUAAUACCGUAUACGUCCUUCGGGAGAAAGAUUUAUCGGAGAUGGAUGAGCCCGCGUUGGAUUAGCUAGUUGGUGGGGUAAAGGCCUACCAAGGCGACGAUCCAUAGCUGGUCUGAGAGGAUGAUCAGCCACACUGGGACUGAGACACGGCCCAGACUCCUACGGGAGGCAGCAGUGGGGAAUAUUGGACAAUGGGCGCAAGCCUGAUCCAGCCAUGCCGCGUGAGUGAUGAAGGCCCUAGGGUUGUAAAGCUCUUUCACCGGUGAAGAUAAUGACGGUAACCGGAGAAGAAGCCCCGGCUAACUUCGUGCCAGCAGCCGCGGUAAUACGA